rnacentral:RNase_P_RNA from 2 species
GAGGUAGGCCGGAGAGUCGCUUCCCUUUUGGGGAGAGGAAAGUCCGGGCUCCACAGGGCAGGGAGCUGGCGUUGAGCCAGGCAGGGGAAACUCUGCGGAGAGGGCCACAGAAAACAGACCGCCCCUUAAAGGGGUAAGGGUGAAAAGGUGGUGUAAGAGACCACCGCCUCUUUCCGCGAGGAGAGAGGGCAUGGUAACCCCCUCCCGGAGCAAGGCUAAAUAGGUCGGCGCUUGAGGGUUGCCCGCCCGAUGCCGACGGGUAAGCCGCUUAGAUAAAUGGCUCUCUAAAACAGAACCCGGCUUACGGGCCUGCCUACUCC